rnacentral:rRNA from 4 species
AAUCCAUAGGUUAAUGAGGCGAACCGGGGGAACUGAAACAUCUAAGUACCCCGAGGAAAAGAAAUCAACCGAGAUUCCCCCAGUAGCGGCGAGCGAACGGGGAGGAGCCCAGAGCCUGAAUCAGCAUGUGUGUUAGUGGAAGCGUCUGGAAAGGCGCGCGAUACAGGGUGACAGCCCCGUACACAAAAGCGCAUGUGCUGUGAGCUCGAUGAGUAGGGCGGGACACGUGGUAUCCUGUCUGAAUAUGGGGGGACCAUCCUCCAAGGCUAAAUACUCCUGACUGACCGAUAGUGAACCAGUACCGUGAGGGAAAGGCGAAAAGAACCCCGGCGAGGGGAGUGAAAAAGAACCUGAAACCGUGUACGUACAAGCAGUGGGAGCACCCUUUGGGUGUGACUGCGUACCUUUUGUAUAA